rnacentral:lncRNA from 10 species
UGACUUUUGACAAAUUUAUACAUCUAGGUAACCAACAACAAUUUAUAGAAUUUUUUCUUUUUCUCUUUAAUUUUCUUUUUCUUUUUAAUUAACUCGAACAAAGUGUGGGAGCUUUGUUCUUUCACUCUUCACAAUAAAUCUUGCUGCUGCUCACUCUUUGGGGCUGCACUAACUUUAUGAGCUGUAACACUCACCAUGAGGGUCUGUGGCUUCAUUCCUGAAGUCAGCAAGACCAUGAACCCAAUGGGAGGAACAAACAACUCUGGACGUGCCACCUUUAAGAGCUGUAACACUCGCUGUGAAGGCCUUCGGCUUCACUUCUGAAGUCAGCGAGACCACAAACCCACCGGAAGGAAGAAACUCUGGACACAUCUGAACAUCUGAACAAACUCCGGACACACCAUCUUUAAGAACUAUAACACUCAGCACGAGGGUCUGCAGCUUCAUUCUUGAAGUCAGCAAGACCAAGAACCCACCAGAAGGAACCAAUUCCGGACACAUUUUGACAACCCAGAUGGGACACAUUUUGGUGACUCCACCAGGACAGUCACCAAGCAGAUCGAGGCCAUCAAGCUACAGAUGGUCUUACAAAUGGAAUCCCGAAUGAGCUCAACUAACAACUUCUACCAAGGACCCCUGGACCAAUCUGCGGGCCCUUUCACUGGCCUAAAGAGUUCCCCUCUGGAGGACACUACAACUGCAGGGCCCCUUCUUCACCCCUAUCCAGCAGGAAGUAGCUAGAGUGGUCAUUGCCCAAUUCCCAACAGCAGUUGGGUUGUCCUGUUUAGAGGGGGUAUUGAGAGGUGAAGCCAGCUGGACUUCCUCCAUCAAGUGAGGACUUGGAGAACUUUUCUGUCUAGCUAAAGGUUUGUAAACGCACCAGUCAGCACUCUGUAAAAUGAACCAAUGAGCGCUCUGUAAAAUGGACCAAUCAGCAGGACAUGGGCAGGGCCAAAUAAGGGAAUAAAAGCUGGCCACCUGAGCCAUCAGUGGCAACCCGUUCGGGUCCCCUUCCACAGUGUGGAAGCUUUGUUCUUUCACUCUUCACAAUAAAUCUUGCUGCUGCUCACUCUUUGGGUUAGCACUACCUUUAUGAGCUGUAACACUCACCACGAGGGUCUGUGGUUCCAUUCCAGAAGUCAGCAAGACCACAAACCCACUGGGAAGAACAAACAACUCCAGACGUGCCACCUUUAACAGCUGUAACACUGACUGCGAAGGUCUGUGGCUUCACUUCUGAAGUCAGCAAGACCACGAACCCACCAGAAGGAAGAAACUCUGGACACAUCUGAACAUCUGAACAAACUCCAGACACAACAUCUUUAAGAACUGUAACACUCACCACGAGGGUCCGCAGCUUCAUUCUUGAAAGUCAGCGAGACCAAGAACCCACCGGAAGGAACCAAUUCCAGACACAAUAUUACCUCAGAAACUCCGCUUGUGCCUCUUCUCAGUCAAUCCCAUACCCCCCGCCCCCAGUGCACACACACAUAUCAAGGCAAUUGUUAUGGAUUUCUGUCACUAUAAAUUAGAUUUGUCUUUCCUAAAGUUUCAAUUAAAUGGAAUAAUAUACUAUAUACUCUUGUGUCUGGCUUCUUUCCCUCAGCAUGAUGUUUUUGAGGUUUACCCAUGUUGUUGUACAUUAGUUCAUUCUGUUUUUUGCUAAGGUUUAAUUAGACUUAUAUAACAAAUACUGGGCAUGGUGGCAUUACAGUAACUCAGGAGGCUAAGGUGGGAGGAUCAAUUUGAGGGCAGGAGAGUUUUGAAAGCAGUCUGGGCAACAUAGCGAGACCCUGUCUCUACAAAAAAACAAAACAAAACAAAACAUUAGCCGGGUGUGGUGGCUUCUGCCUGUAUUCCCAGCUGCUUGGUGUGGGGAAAAGAAAGAUCAGAUCGUUACUGUGUCUAUGUAGAAAAAGGAAGACAUAAAGAAACUCCAUUUUGAUCUGUACUAAGAAAAAUUGUUCUGCUUUGAGAUGCUGUUAAUCUGUAACUCUUGUCCCAACCCUGUGCUCACAAAAACGUGUGCUGUAUUCAAUCAAGGUUUAAUGGAUCUAGGGCUGUGCAGGGUGUGCCUUGGUAAAAAUGCGUUUGCAGGCAGUAUACUUGGUGAAAGUCAUCGCCAUUCUCCAUUCUCUAUUAACCAGAGACACAAUGCACUGCGGAAGGCUGCAGGGACCCCUGCCCAAGAAAGCCUGGGUAUUGUUCAGGUUUCCCCUCACUAAGACAGCCUGAGAUAUGGCCUCGUGGGAAGGGAAAGACCUUACAGCCCCCCAGCCUGACACCCGUAAAGGGUCUAUGCUGUAGAGGAUUAGUGAAAGAGGAAGGCCUCUGUGCAGUUAAGAGGAAGGCAUCUGUCUCCUGCACAUGCCUGGGAAUGGAAUGACUUGGUAUAAAACCGACCACACAUUCUAUUCUGAGAUAGGAGAAAACCUCCUUAUGGCUGGAGGUGAGACAUCAUGGCGGCAAUACUGCUGUUACUCUUUACUGCCCUGAGGUGUUUAUGUAAAGUUAAACAUAAAUCUAGCCUACGUGCACAUCCAGGCACAGCACCUUUCCU